ACUUAAAGGGACCUUUACACUCCGGCCAACUGCUUUGCAGCGGACUCUCAGGCUGCUCCUUCUCGUCCUGGGCGUCAAUCCCUUCUCAAUACGCCCCCCACCCCCCGGCCCAGGUGGCCUGUGCGGGGGCGAUUGGGGGGAGGGGGGCCGGGAGAGAGGGCGUUUUAUUGUCUUUAUUUUGCCUCGCAGGUAGCCACGUUUUUAAGUCACUAACAUUUUCAUCCGGACGUCUCUGAUUUUCAGCCCCCAAAGCCCAGUUGGGGACAGUGAAGACAAAUUUGCAAUGUACGAGGGAGUUUUCUAAGAUCUUUGCUCUUACCGUCUCUAUUCCGAAAUCAUAAUAGAGAUCAAAACGGGGCUGGGGGGGGGCAGGGGGGAAGGAAGAGACAAAGCGCCUGCAGGAUUUAAAAGAGACAAAAAUGCAAGCCGCAGAAGCUAAGUUCCCGGGCUAUGGCCCGAUGCAGACAGCUGUUUGCUGGCUCUGAAAGCCACGAGGGCUGUUUGUACACAACUCGAUAAAAAGGGGAAAUGCGGCUCGCCCUGGAGUGCGACUCUCAUUUGAAAUGUAGCCGGAGUGAAGCUCUCCCACUUAAAAACCAAGUUUCUUAUUUCUUUUGAAGAUAGACAGGAACAUGGGCAGGAUGUUUAUACAGCGAAAUGUAAACAUCUUCUCAGGGGUUCUUUAAUAAAAAGAAAUCAGAAAGAAAAGUCGCUGGUAGUUCGCAUAGGGCCCCUUGCUAAGCCAUAUAAAAUAGCGCCCGUGGCCUGUUUUGCUGCCGGGUUAGAUUUUUGUUGUUGUUUGUUGUUGUUGUGAUAUAAACAUGUGUUGAUUUUUUCAGCUAUGGCCAGACUUUGAUCCUCAGAAGUAAUGGAUCAUACAGACACACACACACACACACACACACACACACACACCACAUGGAGGGGGGGGAGGAAAAGGAGGGCAAAGCCUUCAUCAGACCCCCACCCACAAAAAAGUCUGACCAUCUUUUCAUCAGUAAAGCUGUCACUCACUAAUCAAGAGAUCUGUACAUCAGACGGGACGUGGCAGGUGGGGAGAGGGCUGGAGAGCCUUUUUGCAUGGAUCACCUCUUCUUUCACCGGAUGGGCGAUCAGACGAGUAGGCUGGGGUACCAGGAUAUGGCCAGCACAGUUUUUGGCUAGCCAUCCUGACCUACUCUGAGGAAUUUUCGUACACAGGAGCUUUGACUUUGCAAGCGUGCUGUGUAUAUAAUCUUUCUCUGAAGAUCUUCUACAGUAUGAGAUCUGUGAGUAUGGACGGCCUGGGAUCACAUGUAUGCACUGACAUCCUCCCUGUUCUCAGUUGUCUGGAGAAGCUGCUAGAUUGAGUUUUUGCAAAACAAUAUGCAGGACUGAUAAAGAAACAAUUCAAUAUUUAUUUCUGCUAGGCUCUUAAUAGCCCUCUUGUAUGUACUCUGGCAUUUGCUCUUUAUUACACUUUGUCAGUUUAAUCUUGUUGUAGUGAAUCCUUCACUACUUUUUCCUUUCACAAAUAAACUCCAUGAUUUAA